CCUUCCGAGGUCACUCAGGGCUCGUCUUCCCGCUGCGGCUGGUCCCCGCACGGCUGGGAGGCGCUCUGAGGAGCUGCCCUCAGCACCCUCUUCUCCACAGACCCCGGGGGUCAAGGACCAUGGGGUGGCCCCUCGACCCUGCGCACGGCCGUCCCCGCCCUGCCAGGCGGGCAGUCCUGGGCCCUGGAGGGCAGUGACUCGUGUGGCACUGGACGCUGAGGGCAGACCAGGAGCCC